rnacentral:lncRNA from 1 species
CUACACAGACCCGCACUGACCUGGAAAAGCUUCGGGAGCGGCGACGGGAAGGCAGCAGGAGGUGGUGCGGGGACCCGAGGCGCCUCGUACCCGGCCGGGCUGACGCGGCCCCGCUACACACAAAGCGCUUCAGCUGCACAGGGCGCUAUUUUCCGAAAAUGCCGCGUCUGGUCGGCGCCCAAAAUCCCCACCGAAAAGUCCCCCGUGCUGCGCGCGGAGGGACACAUGGUGUGCGAGUGAGUCAAGCUCCCAGCAUCCCUCCCGGACCCGGCCCUCUUCAGCUCAUCGCCCGAGGAUUUUCCGCCUCUGCCCUCGUCGGCAGAUCCUGCUCCUACCCACUCCCUAGCUGUGUUCCCGCGGGGAGAGAGGGGAAAGAGGGUCUGAUUUUUUAACGAAGGGAAAGAAAAUAUGCCAUUUCUAGCGCUUCAGCCACACAAAGAAAGCGGCGGAAUGAUCCGCUCUCGGCGACCGCAAGUCCCGGCUCGCCCGGCGCCUGCGCGGCAGCGGGGGUGGGAGCUGCGGACGGCCAUGUGCGCGGCGGAGAGGCCGGGUGGCCACCGAACCUUCCCGCCUGUUCUGCGGUGGGUAGGAGUUUGGAAACUAAUGUUCCUGUGCUAACCUUCGUGUCUCUGUGACAUGACUGUUGAAAGACGGAGAGUGCGGAAUCUUUGGAGUUUUAAGCUUGCCAACUGUGCGGCCUAGCAGAAUCCUGGGAGACGGAAGGACAGCCAAGAGGCUAGGAUUUACCUUUAAGUGUCCCUAGAUUCAACUAGGCAGACUGGGACGGGAGACGCUGUGAAGGUACCAGGGAAGGAACGAGUGAGGUUCCUUUUCCACUUUUUCAUAAACUCAACAGUCAGGUUCAUGACGAAGAUAUAGAUAUUUCUGUAGAUUUUUUCCCCAACAUUCUAAUUAUGCCUCAUGUUUCGUAGAUCCUAGUAACUGCUUGGAUUACUGCCACCUCAGAGGUAGAGAUCUGUUUUUCCGUGGCUGGAAUGCCAAAAAUUUUGUUGUAUUUUAUUAAGAAAGUAGCAAAAGUUUGGAGAUUUGCAAAGUUAAAAAAAAAAAAAGCAUUAUGAACUUAAUCUAGAUGUGAUUUGCUAAGGAACUUAAUAUAUUGAUAUGUUUUUCACAGGGGCGUCUGGGCAUGGCUUUCCCAACCUAGUAACUGCAACUUUUAGCAUCCUACAUGUAGGACUUGGGAAUAUGUGAGACAGCGCCAAGAAUUUAAUCCAGGAGAAUUGACAAGCUUAAAUGAAAUCCAUAUUGCCCACUGAUUUUGUGCAGCUUCAGAUAAGUAAUCUUUCUCCACUUAGCCUUUUGUAACAAUUGAUGUAAUAAAGGUUUGUAGUCUUUGUGUAAUUUAUUAAAGCAUUGUGCCUAAAAUAGAAAAAAAGCAUAGGAACCAUAGGCUGUGUUUUCUUUUGAUUUAAUAUUUUCAUUUCUUCAGUUAAUAGAAAUUUGCCAAAUUCUGAUGUUUUUCUGUAGCAUUAUUUGAAUGAGCAUUGUUUAUUUGAGUGAACAUUCAGCUAAUUGUUACAGAAUCGUUGCCCCCAUUAAUCUUAGGCUGUAGAAUGUAGACAAGUAAAUAGGCAUCAUCAGUAUGAUGAGAGUGAAGCUACUUAAUACUGUGGAAUCAAAUAAAGGAGGAACCCCUUACUAAACCAAGAGGGAGGAAUAAAAUGGAAUGGGACUAGAGAAGCAAUUAGCUUUAAUAAGGGUAUUAUGGAAGACUUUCUAGAUGAGAAGCAGUAAGUACAGAUGUUUGGAGGCAAACACUAGAGAGAUUGUUGGGUAAAGAAGACAAUGCUGGAGGUCUACUUGUGAAGGCCUUGAAUGCUAUGUGCAGAAGUCAGCUUCUGAGAACCAGGAAGAAGAUAUUGAAAGAUUUUAAGUAGAAGAAUCAUAGGAUUGAAUUCAUUUUAGACAGAUCACUGUUACACAAAAAUUUGAGGCAAACAGAAGAGUUUGGAGUAAACAGUAGGCUGUGAGCCAGUAAUGACUUGGACUGAGUUGGUAGCAGGUAGGUGUGAAGAAAAUAAAGUGGUUAUUGGGAGAUUUGGUUAACUGAAAAUGACUGAGGGAGAUAGAUGUCAGGUGACUCCCAAGUGAGUUGGUGGAGCAGCUAGGAGGAUAGUAAUGUCUUCACUGAGAUUAGAAACAAAAUAAGAGAAUAUAUGUUAGGGAAGGAAGAAGUCUUUGUUUUGACCAUGUAAAAUUUGAAGUGCAUGUGAGCCAACCAGUCAUAUAUGUGUAGUGUGCAAUUAGAUAUUCAUUCAACACUGUUGGAAGAGCACCUACUCUGUGCCUGGUACUGUUCUACACACUGAAAUAGGUAAAGCAGCAGCAAAACAAAUGGUUCCUACUCCUGUUUUUUAGAGGGAAACAGCAUAUAAACAAGUUUUAAAAAUAAGAGGAGAGAGAAUAUCCCAUAAAUUCGUGAAGAAGGCUGGGUGCAGUGGCUCAUGCCAGUAAUCCCAGCAGUUUGGGAGGCCGAGGUGGGUGGAUCUCCUGAGUUCAGGAGUUAAAGAGCAGCCUGGCCAACAUGGCAAAACCCCGUCUCUACUGAAAAAAAUUAGCUGGGCAUGGUGGCACGCUCCUGUAAUUCCAGCUACUCCGGAGGCUGAGGCAGGAGAGUAGCUUGAACCCAGGACACGGAGGCUGCAGUGAGCCGAGAUUGCGCCACUGCACUCCAGCCUGGGCGACUGAACGAGACUCCGCCUCAAAAAAAAAGAGUUUGUGAGGAAAAUUAAAAGCUGAUUGGAUAAAGUGUUACUCUGGGGAAAAGAGAGCAAACUUUUGGUGGUUGGUUGAUCAGAGAUGGCCUCACUGAGAAGGUAUUAGAAAGGACAAGAACAGUGUGAGACCAAAGGGAAUAGCUGGGCAAAGGCCCUAAGGUGAAAAAUUUGUUGUGUUUAGGGAAUAGCAAGGUCAGUGUAUCCGAAAUCUAGUGACCAAAAGAAGGAAUGAUAGGAGGUGAAGUCUUCAGCCUCAAUAAGAAGGUGAAGUGCACUGGAAGCCAUUGAAGGAUUUAAGAAAUGGAGUAUCUGGCCGGGCGCGGUGGCUCACGCCUGUAAUCCCAGCACUUUGGGAGGCCGAGGUGGGAGGAUCAAGAGGUCAGGAGAUGGAGACCAUCCUGGCUAACAUGGUGAAACCCCGUCUCUAUUCAAAAUAAAAAAUUUUUUUAAAAAUUAGCCAGGCGUGGUGGCGGGCGCCUGUAGUCCCAGCUACUCGGGAGGCUGAGGCAGGAUAAUGGCGUGAACCCAGGAGGCAGGGCUUGCAGUGAGCCGAGAUCGUGCCACUGCACUCCAGCCUGGGCGACAGAGCGAGACUCCGUCUCAAAAAAAAAAAAAAAAAAAAAAGAAAUGGAGUAUCAUGGACUAGGAUAGUAGCAGUAGAGAUGAGGGAAGUGGAUGGAUCCAAAAAGCUGACCUAUCUUGCUUACCAAUUAAAUGAGGAAAGGGAGGAAUCAAUAGUGAUGCCUAGGUUUGGGGCAUGUUGUCUAGGUGGAAUUAAUUUUAAUUACACUUUUAACCCCUAGCAUAUCCAAAUAUUAUUUCACAUGUGAUCAACAUAAAAAAUUACUAAAUAUUAAAAAUAUUUUACAUUAUCUUUCUCAUAACUAAGCAUUUGAAAUCUGGUGUGUAUUUUAUACUUAUAGCAUAUCUCAGUACUUGAUUUCAUAAAAUUUCCAGCUGAAAAAAUAGAUUCACGUACCCAAGUCGUUCCAAGCAUACUUAAAAGUUUUACGGUAAUCGAAUCGUGUAUAUUUUUAAAUUUUAUUUUAAAUUAAAGUUAGGAUUAUGAAUUCAGUUCCUAAAUUAGCCUCAUUUCACUUCUGCAUUUCAAGUGGGACAAGUUAUUACCAUAUUGGACAAUGCAGUCUAGUGAAGUAGAGGAUAGUGGAAAGUCAGACUUAAAAAGUUGUUUAGAACCAGCUCUGGAAGGCCUUGGAUGUCAGAUUAAAGGACUGAGAUUUUACCCUUGAGUCAGGCAGAAUAAUGGAUGGUUUUUGAACUAAGGAGUGACACAAGGUUGUGCUUAUGACUAGAAGGAGGCCACUAGGUGGCCAGCUGGUGAGUCAGGACACCCUUCAGUUGCUUUGACUUCAGCCCUGUGGAUUCAAAGUCUGAUUUUUGUCAGCGCUCUAGAGCAGUCUCACCAAAAGUGUGGUCCACAAGGCAGUGCCAGUCUGUAAGCCCUUUGUUACACAUCCAUGUCAAGGCAUUUACAGAAAGUAAGAAUUUAGAAACUUAUAGCAGUUUAACAGACUAAUUUUAUUUCUGUGGGUCUAAUAAAAAUUUGAGGGAUUGUACUUUGCAUAUUCUUUAUUUCCCUUUUUUUGUUUGUUUUUUGUGUUCGAGAUGGGAGUCUUUUUCUGUCGCCAGGCUGGAGUGCAGUGGUGCAGUCUCGGCUCACU